AUUGGGGAUCAUACUUAAGUUGUCCAUUGCCCCCUCCUGCAUUGUGGGAGAUUGUUUUCAGUUAGUGUCUAAGUGCGCGCUGUACUGGAUGUUUGUUUAUUCUUUGUUGGUUUUGUGAAGUUUCACUUUGUAAUAAAGUAUGUGGAACUCUACGCGCCUUGGUCCGCUCCUUUCGACGAAAGUGACACUUUCUACUAUUAUUCUGACAUUUCACAUUCUUAAAAUAAAGUGGUGAUCCUAACUGACCUAAGACAGGGAAUUUUUACUAGGAUUAAAUGUCAGGAGUUGUGAAAAACUGAGUUUAAACGUAUUUGGCUAAGUUGUAUGUAAACUUCCGACUUCAACUGUAUGUACAGUAUGUACCCGCUCAAAGCUAUAGAGAAAACAAUGAUAUCUCUAUAUUAUAUCUCUAUACUUAGGACCCGUCAGGGGUGUUAGGACAGCUGUUGAAGGGGACAUACCGUGUCAGGGGUCCUCCAGAAGGUGAUGCUGCUCCUGAGAUCUGCCAACUGGUACAUCAGCCCCCUGUGACAUUCUCGACAUCUCCUGCACAAGAUCAGUCAGAAGGACUCCCAGCAGCAGCCGUGUGUGGCCAAGGCCUUUCUAGAGGCUUUGAUAAAGUUUAUGACCCGCAGUGGAUUCUUCAGACUGGACCCAAUGGGAACGGAACUCUGGACUCGGUCACUAUACAAACUAUUAGUCCCAGAUGA
rnacentral:lncRNA from 13 species